rnacentral:rRNA from 1 species
GACGAACGCUGGCGGCGCGCUUAACACAUGCAAGUCGUGCGGUGUCGAAGGCAAGUCUUACGACAAGCCUUCGACACAGCGGCGAACGGGUGAGUAACACGUGAGUAGCUGUCCUAAGGAGGGGGAUAACGCCUGGAAACGGGUGCUAAUACCCCAUAUGCCUCGCAAGAGGUAAAAGUGUACUUGUUACAGCCUUAGGGUGUGCUCGCGGCCUAUCAGCUAGUUGGUGAGGUAACGGCUCACCAAGGCUAAGACGGGUAGCCGGCCUGAGAGGGUGUACGGCCACACUGGGACUGAGACACGGCCCAGACUCCUACGGGGGGCAGCAGUAGGGAAUUUUCGGCAAUGGGCGAAAGCCUGACCGAGCGACGCCGCGUGAGGGACGAAGGCCUUCGGGUUGUAAACCUCUGUCUGGGGGAUGAGAACGGACGGUACCCCGGAGGAAGCCCGGCUAACUACGUG